UACGUAGGGUGCAGGCGUUAAUCGGAAUUACUGGGCGUAAAGCGUGCGCAGGCGGUUUCUUAAGUCAGAUGUGAAAGCCCCGGGCUUAACCUGGGAACUGCGUUUGAAACUGGGAGACUUGAGUGUGGCAGAGGGGGGUGGAAUUCCACGUGUAGCAGUGAAAUGCGUAGAUAUCCGGAGGAACACCGGUGGCGAAGGCGGCUUCCUGGACCGACACUGACGCUGAGGCGCGAAAGCUAGGGGAGCAAACGGG
rnacentral:rRNA from 1 species